GUCUACACUGCUUGGGAGAUGGGUGCAUCAAAAUCUCAGAAGUUGCAACGAAGGAACAUACACGUGUACCCCAAAACCAUCCAUACCCCAGAAACUAUUGAAAUAAAUAGAAAAAUACUUAUUAGAACAAAAAGAAAUGACACUGUGGUACAUAAAUAGUUUGGUUUAAGUUGGAUUCAGCUUAGGAUUUUUUGAUAUUAUAAUAUAGUUUCCUUUCUGAUGUAACAAAGUGUCAUUACCUCAAACAAGAUGACUAAGGCAGCUUACGGAUAAGUAACACAAAAGAACCUCCCAAACAAUUCCAUCUAUCAGGGUCUUUUCUUCUAGAUUGAGCGUGUGUAGGAGGAUACAUCAACUUGACUGGUUAGAAUAAGCCUUGGUCCAAAUUCAUGUGUUUUCAUCUGUAUUUGCUGAUUGUGUCUUCCUUGAACUGGGGUGGAAGAAAAAUUGUAGAUGACUUCCUGCUCCACAGCAAAACGUAUGGAGCAGUAAAAAUAAAAAAAAUAAUUUAUUGGAUAAACAGUUGAUGAUCACUAUGUCAAUAGAAAUUGGAAAGAAGCUUUGAUGUGAGUAAUUUAUUCAUUCACCCAAUUCAUUGUGUUGUAAGUUUAGAAAGAUAGAACAAGACAAAAAUUCUUUCAAUAUAUAAUGAUUGCCUCCAGAAACUUAAAAUAACAUUAAACAGCAGCUUAAAUAAGGCCAUAAACAAGUGCUAAAGAGAGAAAAGCAUGAAAUACAAGAGAAAGUUGAGCCUAGAAGAAGACAUAUGCAGGGGGAGAUGGAAUCACUCUAGACGCUCACUACUGAGGGAGGAGGCUUGAGCUGUACCUUAAUGAUCUGCAAAGGGCAGAGCUGCUUACUGGGGAUUCAGUCUAGCCUGCAGUUCUGGAAGAUGGAAGUCUGAGAUAACGGUAUCAGUAUGGUGGAAUUCUUGCAGAGGUCCCUCGUCUUGGUUUCAAGAUGGCUACCUUCUCCCUGUGUCUUCACAAGAGCAAUGAAGCAAUGUCUCCCUGUCGUCGACGCAGU